CAAAAAAUCUGAACUCCUCUGGAAUAUUUCUGCUCUGUUUUGCAGGCUGGUGUGCUUCUCUCCUCAGCAAGGCCCUUCUUAACGGUGAUUAAAAGGCAGCCAUUUGUUUUGCAAGCCAGACAAAGAAAGAAAAGAGGAAGACUUUGCUGCAGCAAAUCUCCUAUUCCUCUGGGCUCUAACAAACUAGAAAAUGCUGGGGAUUAGAGGACUGCACUGCCUCCAACAACAUAAAACAGUGCUAAUCCACAAAAUGCAAUGUUAAUCUAAGUGGGUCUAUCUUCUCUAAUUUGCAGUGAACUGAGGUCAACUAGAUUUUUAUCUGAGCUCCAAACUGGGAAGCAGAAAACAGCAAAAAUGAAACAUCACAACUUGAUUGGAUCCUGCUUUUAGCACAAGAUUGUACGACCCACUGCUGCACAGGAUGCUUCCAGAUUAGAAGGCCAAAGAUAAGCAAGGAAAUGUGGCUGGCCCCCGUGUUCACAUUUAUUUCAAGAAGAAUAGGGUCCAGGCAUUCAACUGAUAACUCUGCAGACACAGAAGAAGUCUUCAAGCCAACUCCAGAUCAAUGCCAAGGACUUUCCAUGUUAGCACGGUAGACCUUUUAGACUGAACUUGAUCAAAAGUUGCUAACAUUCAAGUGAGGGCAGGACCCAGAUCCUCUUACUCUAUAUCCUUAGUCCCUGGUACUACGAAAC
rnacentral:lncRNA from 1 species